AUGGAGAGCAAUGCUACUCUGAACAUGCCCGAUCUCAUCUGAUCUCAGAAGCUAAGCAGGGUCGAGCCUGGUUAGUACUUGGAUGGGAGACCACCUAGGAAUAAUGGAAAUGACCAUA
rnacentral:rRNA from 1 species